AGAGUUUGAUCCUGGCUCAGAACGUACGCUGGCGGCACGCCUAACACAUGCAAGUCGAACGAAGUAGCAAUACUUAGUGGCAGACGGGUGAGUAACAUGUGGGUAUCUACCCUUUGGCCUGGAAUAACACGAGGAAACUUGUGCUAAUACCGGAUAAGUCUUUACGGAGAAAGCUUUAUGCACCAUUGGAUGAGCCCGCACUUGAUUAGUUUGUUGGUAGGGUAAUGGCCUACCAAGACUAUGAUCAAUAGCUGAUUUGAGAGGAUGAUCAGCCACAUUGGGACUGAGACACGGCCCAAACUCCUACGGGAGGCAGCAGUGGGGAAUCUUGCACAAUGGAGGAAACUCUGAUGCAGCGAUGCCGCGUGAGUGAAGAAGGCCUUUGGGUUGUAAAGCUCUUUCGUCGGGGAAGAAAAUGACUGUACCCGAAUAAGAAGGUCCGGCUAACUUCGUGCCAGCAGCCGCGGUAAUACGAAGGGACCUAGCGUAGUUCGGAAUUACUGGGCUUAAAGAGUUCGUAGGUGGUUGAAAAAGUUGGUGGUGAAAUCCCAGAGCUUAACUCUGGAACUGCCAUCAAAACUUUUCAGCUAGAGUAUGAUAGAGGAAAGCAGAAUUUCUAGUGUAGAGGUGAAAUUCGUAGAUAUUAGAAAGAAUACCAAUUGCGAAGGCAGCUUUCUGGAUCAUUACUGACACUGAGGAACGAAAGCAUGGGUAGCGAAGAGGAUUAGAUACCCUCGUAGUCCAUGCCGUAAACGAUGUGUGUUAGACGUUGGAAAUUUAUUUUCAGUGU
rnacentral:rRNA from 1 species